GCUACGGGGGGCUGCAGUGAGGAAUAUUGCACAAUGGACGCAAGUCUGAUGCAGCAACGCCGCGUGGAGGAUGAAGGUCUUUGGAUUGUAAACUCCUUUUCUCAGGGAAGAGAAUGGACGGUACCUGAGGAAUAAGUCACGGCUAACUACGUGCCAGCAGCCGCGGUAAGACGUAGGUGGCAAGCGUUAUCCGGAAUUACUGGGCGUAAAGCGCACGCAGGCGGUCUUUUAAGUUGGACGUGAAAGCUCUCGGCUUAACUGGGUGGGGUCGUUGAAUCCUGGGAGACUUGAGGCAAUGAGAGGGGUGUAGAAUUCCCGGUGUAGUGGUUGAAUGCGUAGAUAUCGGGGGGAAUACCAGUGGCGAAAGCGGCACCCUAGCGUUGUACUGACGCUCAUGUGCGAAAGCGUGGGGAGCGAACGGGAUUAGAUACCCUAGUAGUC
rnacentral:rRNA from 1 species